AGUGAACGCUGGCGGUAGGCCUAACACAUGCAAGUCGAACGGCAGCACAGUAAGCUCUUGCUCUUACGGGUGGCGAGUGGCGGACGGGUGAGGAAUACAUCGGAAUCUACUUUUUCGUGGGGGAUAACGUAGGGAAACUUACGCUAAUACCGCAUACGACGUACGGGUGAAAGCAGUGGAUCUUGGGACCUUGCGCGAUUGAAUUAGCCGAUGUCGGAUUAGCUAGUUGGCGGGGUAAAGGCCCACCAAGGCGACGAUCCGUAGCUGGUCUGAGAGGAUGAUCAGCCACACUGGAACUGAGACACGGUCCAGACUCCUACGGGAGGCAGCAGUAGGGAAUAUUCGACAAUGGGCGCAAGCCUGAUCCAGCCAUACCGCGUGGGUGAUGAAGGCCUUCGGGUUGUAAAGCCCUUUUGUUGGGAAAGAAAAGCAGCAGGUUAAUACCCCGCUGUUCUGACGGUACCCAAAGAAUAAGCACCGGCUAACUUCGUG
rnacentral:rRNA from 1 species